rnacentral:tRNA from 7 species
GGGGCCGUAGCUCAGCUGGGAGAGCGCCUGCUUUGCAAGCAGGAUGUCAGCGGUUCGAUCCCGCUCGGCUCCACCA